rnacentral:rRNA from 1 species
CCUACGGGGGGCUGCAGUGGGGAAUAUUGGACAAUGGGGGAAACCCUGAUCCAGCGACGCCGCGUGAGUGAAGAAGUAUUUCGGUACGUAAAGCUCUAUCAGCAGGAAAGAAAAUGACGGUACCUGACUAACAAGCCCCGGCUAACUACGUGCCAGCAGCCGCGGUAAUACGUAGGGGGCAAGCGUUAUCCGGAUUUGCUGGGUGUAAAGGUAGCGUAGACGGCAGCACAAGUCUGGAGUGAAAUCCCGGGGCUUAACCCCGGAACUGCUUUGGAAACUGUGCGGCUGGAGUGCAGGAGGGGUAAGCGGAAUUCCUAGUGUAGCGGUGAAAUGCGUAGAUAUUAGGAGGAACACCGGUGGCGAAGGCGGCUUACUGGACUGUAACUGACGUUGAGGCUCGAAAGCGUGGGGAGCAAACAGGAUUAGAUACCCGAGUAGUC